AGGAUGAUCAGUCACACUGGAACUGAGACACGGUCCAGACUCCUACGGGAGGCAGCAGUGGGGAAUAUUGGACAAUGGGCGAAAGCCUGAUCCAGCCAUGCCGCGUGUGUGAAGAAGGUCUUCGGAUUGUAAAGCACUUUAAGUUGGGAGGAAGGGUUGUAGAUUAAUACUCUGCAAUUUUGACGUUACCGACAGAAUAAGCACCGGCUAACUCUGUGCCAGCAGCCGCGGUAAUACAGAGGGUGCAAGCGUUAAUCGGAAUUACUGGGCGUAAAGCGCGCGUAUGUGGUUUGUUAAGUUGGAUGUGAAAUCCCCGGGCUCAACCUGGGAACUGCAUUCGAAACUGACUGACUAGAGUAUGGUAGAGGGUGGUGGAAUUUCCUGUGU
rnacentral:rRNA from 1 species